GACGAACGCUGGCGGCGUGCCUAACACAUGCAAGUCAACUUGACUGAAGGAGCAAUCUGACAGUAGAGUGGCGCAAGGGUGCGUAACGCGUAAGUAACUUGCCCAAGGUAAGGAAUAACGUCGAGAAAUCGGCGCUAAUACCUCAUAAUGCAGCGGAUCCGCAUGGAUAUGUUGUUAAAGGUUUACCGCCUUGGGAUAGGCUUGCGUCUGAUUAGCUAGUUGGUGUGGUAACGGCACACCAAGGCUACGAUCAGUAACUGGUCUGAGAGGAUGAUCAGUCACACUGGAACUGAGACACGGUCCAGACUCCUACGGGAGGCAGCAGUGAGGAAUAUUGGGCAAUGCUCGAAAGAGUGACCCAGCAACGCCGCGUGGAGGAUGAAGGUAUUCUAUAUCGUAAACUCCUGUGAGAGCAGACGAAAGACAGAUUAUUAAUCUGGAUGACUGUGUG
rnacentral:rRNA from 1 species